rnacentral:sRNA from 14 species
UCCUACGCGGCUUUCCCGGGGGCCUUGCGACAGGCGCUGGAGACCGCUGAGACCCCUUUCAGUGGCUUCUCCUGGGCGCUGGACUGGUUUCGGCGGGGGCUUUGGAACGCGCC